rnacentral:rRNA from 1 species
GAUUUCAUAGAUAUUUUUUCUUGUAGGAAUUUUUUAAAAUAUUUAUGGGGAGUGAUACGUUUUCGUUUCUUAAGGUAUCUAGAUUUUUUAAUUUUUAAGGGAAAACUUUUUAAACUUUUAUGUUUUUUAAGGGUAUUAUUUUCUUUGAAAGUAAGGCGGAUGUGUGAUAACGUAUAAAAAUUAUAACUUAAAGUUUAUUGGUUUUUGUAUUUAGAGAAUUAAUUAAUAGAUUAGUAGAAUCAAAAAAAUUUUGUUUAAUUUUUUUUUAUUUUUUAUGUUUAAAUUGUUUCUAUUUACUGAUUUUUUCUUAGACUGGUUAAUAAAAUCUUAGUUACAAAAUUUGUAAUUUUUUCUGCUCUAUGCUAAAAAAGGUAAAUGGCUGUUUUGACACUAAGGUAGCAAAAUCAUUAGCUAUUUAAUUGGUAGCUUGUAUGAAUGAAUUUUCUGGGAAUAUUAUUAAUUUUUUUUUUUAAUUUAUAAAUUUGUUGAAAAUAACAAUUUUUCCCAUAAGACUAAAAGACCCUAAAAUUUUUAUAACUUUAUAGUGUAGUUAUUUGAUUGGGGUAAUAAAGAAAAAUCAACAUUAAUUAAUUUAUCUUUUUUUGAACUUUUUUUUAUUGAUAGAAGGUUAAAAUACUUUAGGGAUAACAGCUUAAUUAUCUUUUAGAGUUCUUAUUAAUAAGGUAGUUUUAGACCUCGAUGUUGGAUUGAAAUUACUUUUUGGGGUAG